rnacentral:rRNA from 1 species
AUGCUUCUUCUAUUGUGUUUUCAGUGUUGGGGGUUUACCAGUCUUUUUCGAGGAAGGGUUAUCACCAUUUUCUUAUGGGCCUUUUAUAAUUUUCUUCUUAUUGUUAUUUCUAUCAUGAUUGUGUUAGCCCUUGUAUCUAGCUUUCCAACAAACUUGGUUUCGUUUAAUUCGGAGUUCGUUUGCAGAAGUUGUGUCAGUUUUGGUGUCCUUAAAAAGGCAGCAGCGGUACUACCGCUCAUGGGAGCGGUACUACCGCUCAUGGGAGCGGUACUAUCGCUUGGAGGGGAUGUAAUUUUUUACUUCCGCUCUUGGGAGCGGUACUACCGCGCUACUUCCACUCCGGACCAAAAACUCGUCAUAGGUCUAGCGGUGGUAGGCACGGAUGUAUUUUUUUAG